GAGUUUGAUCUUGGCUCAGGACGAACGCUGGCGGCGUGCUUAACACAUGCAAGUCGAGCGGAAAGGCCCUUCGGGGUACUCGAGCGGCGAACGGGUGAGUAACACGUGGGCAACCUGCCCCUAGCUCUGGGAUAACUCCGGGAAACCGGUGCUAAUACCGGAUACGACCUCAUUAGGCAUCCUUUGAGGUGGAAAGAUUUAUUGGCUAGGGAUGGGCCCGCGGCCUAUCAGCUUGUUGGUGGGGUAAUGGCCUACCAAGGCGACGACGGGUAGCCGGCCUGAGAGGGCGACCGGCCACACUGGGACUGAGACACGGCCCAGACUCCUACGGGAGGCAGCAGUGGGGAAUAUUGCGCAAUGGGCGAAAGCCUGAUGCAGCGACGCCGCGUGAGGGAUGACGGCCUC
rnacentral:rRNA from 1 species